ACUAUGAUUGACACGUGUCGAUGAGUGGAUUAUUUAUAUGUAUAUAUUCAAAUAAUUUUCGGUGAAACACUGAUACUCACCGACUGGCCAAGAAGGGAGCUUGGCACAUUCAAUUUGUCCGGAAUUUGUUCUUUCUGCGGACAUCCGGCCGCACGGAAGUCGCGACGGCUUUUGAAUCAAAGAGCGAAGAAAUCGUACAAAUUGGACGUCCUCGUGGAACGACCAUAACGCGACCAUUUCGUGGAACCGCAGCUGGUCGGAAUACCUGGCGUUACGACUCGCCGAUGUUACAACCCCGUCGAAGCGUUCUAAUGAAGAAAUAAAAGCGAUCUAUAUCGGGCAGCCACAAAACGUUUCACGAUCAAAUAAAAGACUCCUCGAGCCGUUCCAUCGGACGGCUGGCAAUAUGGCCGAGGAUAUUCGAUCAGUUCCUUCCAUUUCUGACACGGGCUUACAACAUCGUCUUCGAGCCGACGAUUACGCGAUGAUGUUUCCUCGUGUCCCCUGGUUCGUUGCCUUUUCCCAUCGGCAGGAGCGGGAACCCGACGGAACGUGUCCUUUACGAGCAGGGACCAACCCUUAACGACGCCCCAGCGUCGAUUCUGUGCCAAGCAUACAGAUCGAUCUUAACCGAGUCAAUCUUGGCGAGGAUUCCGUUCACGUACGAUCAGCUUUUCAAUCAUAUAUGAGCCACUGAAUCGUUUCGCGGGAAAAUCACUGGUGAACCACUCUGUUUAUGCACGACGAAACGACGUCGAGGAAUCCUUGCGUAAGCAACGUCUCGAGAGGGUGACUCGGACCCGCGACCCUAAUGGGUACCGCACGGUUGACCUACGGAAUGAUAACUGGCACAACGAUUCUCGAAACUUUUCUAUGUUUGCCUCUUUCUUUUUCUCGAUCUUUUCUGGCUUCCUCGAGACGACGCGACCUACAUAGUUGCUCUAGAAGGUCCAGACAUCGAAUCUUUACAUUUAUUUUUCUAUCGAUAGAUUGUGCUUUGACAUAUAAUUCCUUUUCUAUCCAGAGUAUAAUAAUUUACAGCAUCCCAGAACAUUGUUGUUCAACAUAAAUUCAGACCACGGUUUUACAUCACGGAAGUAACAAACCAUAAGUUACUUCGGGUAUGUCCGUUGUAUUUAUCCGCCCCGAAAACGGUAAAGUUUCGCGUGUAAACGAAGAUCGGUAAACUUGCCUGUUUUACCCGCGCAAAACGCGGAUCGAACGCUCGAGGAAUUUCAUGCUCGCGAGUCUCGCGAACGGUUGAUCGCGAUUUUGUGGAUCAUAAAAUCGGUACACCCAUAGGUGUUUGGUUUCUUUUUCGCGUGAGUCACGCGAUCGGGGCAGCUGAAUCAUCGAUACGCCAUUGAAGAUCGUGGAUGAAUCUAUAAUAAGAUCCCGGUGCACCACGUGUGGAUCCGAAUUCAAUUGAUCGCCGCCCACUCGGCCGGCGAAUUCCUCGCGGAUUGAAGAGUCGAGAAAAGGACUGACCUCUCCUCGAGUAGGAGCGAAUUGUGCCAACAACGCUUCUGGUAUUCGAAUAAUUGGUCCCUCGACGACAACCGAGGAAACAUCAUCGGAACAACGGUCGACAGAGGAGUUUCUGGAAACUUUUAAUUGCACACCACGUCUGCGGAACGUCCGUGAAUCUUCCGGCUGGACCGAAGAACCAGUGCCGCAAUCAAGAGGAAAGGGUUGGCCCCCACAAUAGAUUUAAAAGAUUUCUUUUAUUAUUUACGGGUACAGGUAGAUAAAAUCUUCCCUCGAUCACUUGAGCCGUCCAUUGCACAAAUCGAUCGACUCCAUAAAACAAAAAGUUGAGAAUUGUAUAAAAUUAAUAAUACAGAAUAGCCAAAAAAUAAUCGCCAGUGAUGUUACAAUUUUUAUAUGACUGGUGGAGUUAAUCGAUUUGUGCAACGAACAACUCAUUUAUCCUGAAAGACAUGAAAAAUUGGUUGUAUUGUUCACAGCCAUUGCACGAACGAAAACAUGGCGGACUCAUCGUCGAUUCAAAGUGGCUGGAAAAGAAGCACGAUGGCGAUAAUUGUUUAUAACGGCACAGUCAUCCAGCCGAUGCCGACUGUAAUUAUUUAACGGCGCCAGUCUUUUUGUUAUCCUUCUUGCUGGAGCCCCGACUGCGCAAUCUCGACUCCCUGAUUUCCAUUUGCGUUUUCUUGGACGUCGAUGGGAAUGCAUGAAUAUUAAGUGACGAUAAUUGAUUUCCAGGGAGCGUUCUCUCGAUAUUGCGGAAACGAAAGCAGCGAGCGUUGGAAGCAAAAGAAACCCUCGGCCGUUCUCUUGAUUCGCAGACAUUACACCUGGAUGGCGUGGGCGAUCCUUGGGGUUUUCCCGUGAUUUUUCCACCCAUGUACGCGGACCAGCGUGGCUGUAAUAAAUUUUAAUACGCCGGCUAAUCGAGAUUUAACCCCGCAGCUGACUGGAAAGAAGUGAUAAAGAAUCGGUUGGACGAAUUUUCCCAGCGACUCGUCGCGAGUUCGAGAAAUGUCGCAGGAACGUUCGCGCAUCGCUAUUUUUUGACAUCGCCUAUGGUUCCGCAGUAAUGCGCGAGGAAUACACGAUGCGGCCAGGUGGUGUGCGUGGUCUUCGUCAAUCAUCGCCUCAUAAAACCGACACCAAAUCGAAGCGGGCGACGUGUUUCCCUCGAUGUCUGUGAUAGAUUAACUGACGAGGCUUGCCGAGGAAGACGAAUGUUUGCUUUUACUGUAACUCUGUACAAUUACCGCAGCUGACAUUCGAACAUCACGGUGGUUGUACAUCUAUAUUCGUGGCUCUGUGGGAGGAAGUUAA